rnacentral:rRNA from 1 species
CCCUUAGAUGUCCUGGGCCGCACGCGCGUUACACUGAUGCAUUCAACGAGCUUAUAACCUUGGCCGAGAGGCCUGGGCAAUCUUGUUAACGUGCAUCGUGAUAGGGAUAGAUUAUUGAAAUUAUUAAUCUUGAACGAGGAAUUCCUAGUAAACGCAGAUCAUCAAUCUGCAUUGAUUACGUCCCUGCCCUUUGUACACACCGCCCGUCGCUCCUACCGAUUGAAUGGUCCGGUGAAAAUUUCGGAUAGUGGCGAUGCUGGCGGUUCGCCGCCGGCGCUGCCGCUAGAAGAUCUUUAAACCUUAUCAUUUAGAGGAAGGAGAAGUCGUAACA